GAAUUCGCCCUUAGAGUUUGAUCCUGGCUCAGGACGAACGCUGGCGGCGCGCUUAACACAUGCAAGUCGAACGGAGAUAUUCGCCGUACGAAGCUUCGGCAGAGUACAUGAGUAUUUCAGUGGCGAACGGGUGAGUAACACGUGAGGAACCUGCCUUUAAGAGGGGGAUAACACUUAGAAAUAGGUGCUAAUACCGCAUAAGACCACACUGCCGCAUGGCAGAGGGGUCAAAGGAGCAAUCCGCUUAAAGAUGGACUCGCGUCCGAUUAGGCAGUUGGCGGGGUAACGGCCCACCAAACCGACGAUCGGUAGCCGGACUGAGAGGUCGAACGGCCACAUUGGGACUGAGACACGGCCCAGACUCCUACGGGAGGCAGCAGUGGGGAAUAUUGGGCAAUGGGGGAAACCCUGACCCAGCGACGCCGCGUGAGGGAAGAAGGUUUUCGGAUUGUAAACCUCUGUCUUCGGGAACGAUAAUGACGGUACCCGAGGAGGAAGCCACGGCUAACUACGUGCCAGCAGCCGCGGUAAAACGUAGGUGGCAAGCGUUGUCCGGAAUUACUGGGUGUAAAGGGAGCGCAGGUGGGCGUGCAAGUCGAAUGUGAAAACUAUGGGCUCAACUCAUAGAUUGCGUUCGAUACUGUAUGUCUUGAGUGGAGUAGAGGCAGGCGGAAUUCCCGGUGUAGCGGUGGAAUGCGUAGAUAUCGGGAGGAACACCAGUGGCGAAGGCGGCCUGCUGGGCUCUAACUGACACUGAGGCUCGAAAGCGUGGGUAGCAAACAGGAUUAGAUACCCUGGUAGUCCACGCUGUAAACGAUGAUUAC
rnacentral:rRNA from 1 species